rnacentral:rRNA from 1 species
CAUGCAAGUCGAACGGUAACAGGAAGCAGCUUGCUGCUUCGCUGACGAGUGGCGGACGGGUGAGUAAUGUCUGGGAAACUGCCUGAUGGAGGGGGAUAACUACUGGAAACGGUAGCUAAUACCGCAUAACGUCGCAAGACCAAAGAGGGGGACCUUCGGGCCUCUUGCCAUCGGAUGUGCCCAGAUGGGAUUAGCUAGUAGGUGGGGUAACGGCUCACCUAGGCGACGAUCCCUAGCUGGUCUGAGAGGAUGACCAGCCACACUGGAACUGAGACACGGUCCAGACUCCUACGGGAGGCAGCAGUGGGGAAUAUUGCACAAUGGGCGCAAGCCUGAUGCAGCCAUGCCGCGUGUAUGAAGAAGGCCUUCGGGUUGUAAAGUACUUUCAGCGGGGAGGAAGGGAGUAAAGUUAAUACCUUURCUCAUUGACGUUACCC